rnacentral:rRNA from 1 species
UGCAGUCGACGAUGAGCCCAGCUUGCUGGGUGGAUUAGUGGCGAACGGGUGAGUAACACGUGAGUAACCUGCCCUUAACUCUGGGAUAAGCCUGGGAAACUGGGUCUAAUACCGGAUAGGAGCGCCUACCGCAUGGUGGGUGUUGGAAAGAUUUAUCGGUUUUGGAUGGACUCGCGGCCUAUCAGCUUGUUGGUGAGGUAAUGGCUCACCAAGGCGACGACGGGUAGCCGGCCUGAGAGGGUGACCGGCCACACUGGGACUGAGACACGGCCCAGACUCCUACGGGAGGCAGCAGUGGGGAAUAUUGCACAAUGGGCGCAAGCCUGAUGCAGCGACGCCGCGUGAGGGAUGACGGCCUUCGGGUUGUAACCUCUUUCAGUAGGGAAGAAGCGAAGUGACGGUACCUGCAGAAGAAGCACCGGCUACUACGUGCCAGCAGCCGCGGUAUACGUAGGGUGCGAGCGUUAUCCGGAUUAUUGGGCGUAAGAGCUCGUAGCGGUUUGUCGCGUCUGUCGUGAAGUCCGGGCUUACCCCGGAUCUGCGGUGGUACGGCAGACUAGAGUGCAGUAGGGAGACUGGAUUCUGGUGUAGCGUGGAUGCGCAGAUAUCAGAGACACGAUGGCGA